rnacentral:misc_RNA from 1 species
GGGCGCCGCUAGUGCUGGAGAGGGGCCAGGGGUGCGUGCUGUAUGAUGUGGAGGGGCGGGAGUAUCUCGACAUGACGGCCGGGAUCGCGGUGAACUCUCUGGGGCACGGCGAUCCGGACUGGCUGAAGGCGGUGAUGGAGCAGGCUGGAACCCUCACUCACGUCAGCAACAUGUAUUAUUCUGUCCCGAUGGUGACACUUGGAAAGCGCCUUGUAGAGUGUUCAUUUGCUGACCGCGUUUUCUUGGUAAAUUCCGGGACAGAAGCAAAUGAAGCGGCUAUCAAAUUUGCCCGGAAAUUCCAAAGAAAGUCUUGUGACGCUGAGGAGCCUGCCACGGAGUUCAUUUCCUUUACAAAUAGUUUCCAUGGAAGAACAAUGGGCGCACUUGCUCUGACGAGUAAAAAGUAUUACAGGGAACCCUUUGAGCCAGUUAUGCCUGGAGUCACAUUUGUGGAGUAUGGAAACAUCGAAGAAGUCAAAAAAGCAAUACAACCCGGCAAAACUGCAGCUGUUUUUGUGGAACCUAUACAGGGUGAAGGUGGGAUACAUAGUGUCACAAAGGAGUUUCUACAAUCACUUCGUGCUGUUUGUGAUGAAUCUGGAGCACUCCUAGUUUUUGAUGAGGUACAAUGUGGGUUAGGCCGAACAGGCCGUCUCUGGGCCCAUGAGGCUUACGGUGUGACACCCGAUAUCAUGACACUCGCCAAACCUCUCGCUGGAGGCCUGCCGAUUGGCGCUGUACUGAUGACUGAGAAGGUGGCUUCUGCAAUGAG